ACGCCGUCCGUAGGUUUUGUCAUUUCUCACCAACCUUAAGACAAAUCAGAAUAAAUAUUUUGGCAUUUUUUCAUGAUUUUGGUAAGUGUAGUCUUACCACUGGGAUUUGUUCCAUUGUAUGUGAAAGGAGCAGUAUGUAACUCUGAAACCUAGUGUUUAAAAUAGGUACUGCAGUCUAAAUUCUAAACAUCAUAGAGAGCUGUCCCCCCCCCCCCCACCCCCCUCCUCUCUAGAGUCCAUGCUCACACAGGUCACCAUGUGGUGGACUCUGAAGCUUCAGUGUUUAUCCAGCUCUGCAUGGGUCUGUAAACCUUUCUGUGUUCUAACCUCUCUCCAUUUUUCAAAAGCAUCUCCAAUAUUGAUCCUAGUUUGAGCACGUUUCUGCUCGGGCGUCCAAAACGGCCGUGUGGGGGGGUGUCUUAAAAUCGCCUACCUUCUCUGGUCCAAACAAAUCCAGAGCAUUCAGGAGCAGAAUCUAAAGUUAGAAGGAGGACAUACUGGCUGCUGCAUUGUUGUCAGAGAAGCCAGCACUUCAACAUGUUUCCUUAAUGAUCAGAUAGUAAGAUACCUUUAUCAUCUCACUCUCUACACAUCUCACUGAUUGUAGCUUUAAUAAGAGUGCUCUAGUCCAUUGUACGUCCUCAGUAUGCUCUCUGAUCAAAUUAUUUAGAACAAGGUCAGUAAUUCCAUUUUCUCUGCGUGAGGUUAGUAAACAGAAUAUCAUAUCAACCCUUCUCCUUCUGCGUUGGAUGUCACUGCUCCCCUCUGCUUGUCAUCAGUCUGCAGUUUUAUCUUAAAAGAAGAAUUUCAAUCUUUUCUGAUGUGCAACAAAAAGACAUACAUUUCACAGUGACUCACAGUACAGCAUACAGAACAGAGUGACGGCCCCAGCUGUCAUUGUUAUAACAGUAUUAGAAGAUUCAUGUAAAAAAUGAUGCUUUUGUUGUCUCUAAUUCACUUUCAUGAUGGGAGAACCGUCUCUGUGGUGCACAGGGAGCGUGAGGCUCCAGUUGAAGGAGGAAGUGCUGAGUGGUUUGUUGGGACUAAUAAUAGUUGCUAUCUAGACAGCGGUGUCAAGUACAUGUGAUGACUGCUUCCCCCUCUCUUCACCGGCUUCAGCCAGAGCCACAGACAGACGAGGGGUUGGCCAAAGCUGCAGCAGAGCCUUUUGUACAAAGAGUUUCUCCAUGAAGGAUUGGGGGUUAAGUUACUCAGGCUAACUCUAGAUGGAAAACGUCGGCCAUGUUUACAUUUAUGUCCACUGCGGUCGCCAAAAUCGAGUGCAACUGAGGGACGUCACAGUCGUUGGUUUGACUGUAAGGAAAACGCAGUGCGGCCCCCUGACUGCAUACGACAAGUCGCAACAUUUCAUGCAAGACCCUGCUUGUCGCCUAGUGUCCCUGCUGCUUGUGGGUUAAACCAAAAGGGUCAAGAGUCAGAAACUACAUGACGCAUUGCUCGCACCACAUGCUCUCAGAAUGAGAUUUCAGUGCACUGCUUGCGUGCAUGUAUGAAAAGGUAUUUUAUAUUACCAAAAAGCCGCCAUGUUGUUUCCAGUUUGAAUGCUGGGGAAAAUAACCUUUCCUGUCAAUCAUGGGAGAAUCCAAAUCCAAUCAAAUGUUGGAUCGCGCAGCUCGCAUCGCACUCAUUUGAAUAUUGUUCACUGAAGUUAACAGUGAGAGUUAAGUUUUGUCCCGUCCUUUUCUCGCAUCUUGUGCCUAAACCUGCAAUUCUGCAGAGGUGCACUUGUUACCUGUUUCUGCUGCCGUAUUUAUUUGUUGGCAGUUUGCCUUCAUUAGAGAGGACAGGGCUGCAGUGGUUAGUGCUGUUGCCUCACAGGGAGGAGGUUCCUGGUUUGAAUCCCCGUUUGGUUCGUUGGGUUAAUUAGUGACUCUACAUUUUACAUAUUAUUGUUUUUUUUUGAUAAUUUAUUCACUUGUUUCUGUUUCUUUUACUGCUCUUACCUUCUUAUUGCUGUUAUCUUUUUUAUUUGCUUUUAGCUCUUUUAGUUUCUUACAUCUUUUUAAAUCUUUGGUCCUCUUGGUAUCAGCUCGUGUUGUUGGGUUCUUGUGUUGCCUGGGUUCUUAUGAUGGUUCUUGUGUUUCCUGGGUUCUUAUGAUGGUUCUUGUGAUGGUUCUUAUGAUGGUUCUUGUGUUGCCUGGGUUCUUAUGAUGGUUCUUGUGUUGCCUGGGUUCUUAUGAUGGUUCUUGUGUUUCCUGGGUUCUUAUGAUGGUUCUUGUGAUGGUUCUUAUGAUGGUUCUUGUGUUUCCUGGGUUCUUAUGAUGGUUCUUAUGAUGGUUCUUAUGAUGGUUCUUGUGAUGUUUCUUGUGAUGGUUCUUGUGAUGGUUCUUGUGAUGGUUCUUGUGAUGGUUCUUGUGAUGGUUCUUAUGAUGGUUCUUAUGAUGGUUCUUAUGAUGGUUCUUAUGAUGGUUCUUGUGAUGGUUCUUGUGAUGGUUCUUGUGAUGGUUCUUAUGAUGGUUCUUAUGAUGGUUCUUGUGAUGGUUCUUGUGAUGGUUCUUAUGAUGGUUCUUGUGAUGGUUCUUGUGAUGGUUCUUGUGAUGGUUCUUAUGAUGGUUCUUAUGAUGGUUCUUGUGAUGGUUCUUGUGAUGGUUCUUAUGAUGGUUCUUGUGAUGGUUCUUGUGAUGGUCGGGUUAUAUAUGUCUGUUGGGUAUCGUGCACUUUGGAUUCUUUUCUGUUGAAUUGUAUUUAAUUAUUUUUAGUAUUUUACAUUUGUUAUGUUCUUGCUGUUGUUUCUGUUCUUCUGUGUUUGGUUUAGUUUGUUCUUGUUUUUGCUGUUUGUCAAAGCACUUUGUAAACCUGUGUUUUUAAAAGGUGCUAUAUAAAUAAAGUUAUUAUUAUUAUUAUUAUUACA